CCGCGGUAAAACCGGUUACUCCUACGGGAGGCAGCAGUGGGGAAUAUUGCACAAUGGGCGAAAGCCUGAUGCAGCGACGCCGCGUGAGCGAAGAAGUAUUUCGGUAUGUAAAGCUCUAUCAGCAGGGAAGCGGUACCUGACUAAGAAGCCCCGGCUAACUAC
rnacentral:rRNA from 1 species